UACAGAGGUCUCAAGCGUUGUUCGGAUUCAUUGGGCGUAAAGGGUGCGUAGGUGGCGGGGUAAGUCUGGUGUGAAAUCUCGGGGCUCAACCCCGAAACUGCACUGGAUACUGCCUUGCUCGAGUACUGGAGAGGAGAUUGGAAUUUACGGUGUAGCAGUGAAAUGCGUAGAUAUCGUAAGGAAGACCAGUGGCGAAGGCGAAUCUCUGGGCAGUUACUGACACUGAGGCACGAAGGCCAGGGGAGCAAACGGG
rnacentral:rRNA from 1 species